GACGAACGCUGGCGGCGUGCUUAACACAUGCAAGUCGAACGGAAAGGCCCUGCUUGCAGGGUACUCGAGUGGCGAACGGGUGAGUAACACGUGGGUGAUCUGCCCUGCACUUCGGGAUAAGCCUGGGAAACUGGGUCUAAUACCGGAUAGGAGCCAUUUUUAGUGUGAUGGUUGGAAAGUUUUUUCGGUGUAGGAUGAGCUCGCGGCCUAUCAGCUUGUUGGUGGGGUAAUGGCCUACCAAGGCGGCGACGGGUAGCCGGCCUGAGAGGGUGGACGGCCACAUUGGGACUGAGAUACGGCACAGACUCCUACGGGAGGCAGCAGUGGGGAAGAUUGCACAAUGGGCGCAAGCCUGAUGCAGCGACGCCGCGGGGGGGAUGACGGCCUUCGGGUUGUAAACUCCUUUCGCUAGGGACGAAGCUUUUUGUGACGGUACCUAGAGAAGAAGCACCGGCUAACUACGUG
rnacentral:rRNA from 1 species